GACGAACGCGGGCGGCGUGCCUAAUACAUGCAAGUAGAACGCUGAAGGAGGAGCUUGCUUCUCCGGGUGAGUUGCGAACGGGUGAGUAACGCGUAGGUAACCUGCCUGGUAGCGGGGGAUAACUAUUGGAAACGAUAGCUAAUACCGCAUAACAGUAGAUAUUGCAUGAUAUCUGCUUGAAAGGUGCAAUUGCAUCACUACCAGAUGGACCUGCGUUGUAUUAGCUAGUUGGUGGGGUAACGGCUCACCAAGGCGACGAUACAUAGCCGACCUGAGAGGGUGAUCGGCCACACUGGGACUGAGACACGGCCCAGACUCCUACGGGAGGCAGCAGUAGGGAAUCUUCGGCAAUGGACGGAAGUCUGACCGAGCAACGCCGCGUGAGUGAAGAAGGUUUUCGGAUCGUAAAGCUCUGUUGUAAGAGAAGAACGAGUGUGAGAGUGGAAAGUUCACACUGUGACGGUAUCUUACCAGAAAGGGACGGCUAACUACGUGCCAGCAGCCGCGGUAAUACGUAGGUCCCGAGCGUUGUCCGGAUUUAUUGGGCGUAAAGCGAGCGCAGGCGGUUAGAUAAGUCUGAAGUUAAAGGCUGUGGCUUAACCAUAGUACGCUUUGGAAACUGUUUAACUUGAGUGCAAGAGGGGAGAGUGGAGUUCCAUGUGUAGCGGUGAAAUGCGUAGAUAUAUGGAGGAACACCGGUGGCGAAAGCGGCUCUCUGGCUUGUAACUGACGCUGAGGCUCGAAAGCGUGGGGAGCAAACAGG
rnacentral:rRNA from 1 species